rnacentral:rRNA from 1 species
CCUACGGGAGGCAGCAGUAAGGAAUAUUGGACAAUGGUCGCAAGACUGAUCCAGCCAUGCCGCGUGAAGGAUGAAGGCCCUAUGGGUUGUAAACUUCUUUUGUACGGGAAAAACCCCUCUACGUGUAGAGGGCUGAUUGUACCGUAAGAAUAAGGAUCGGCUAACUCCGUGCCAGCAGCCGCGGUAAUACGGAGGAUCCAAGCGUUAUCCGGAUUCAUUGGGUUUAAAGGGUGCGUAGGCGGAAUGAUAAGUCAGUGGUGAAAGCCUGCAGCUUAACUGCAGAACUGCCAUUGAUACUGUCAAUCUUGAGUACAUUUGAUGUGGGCGGAAUGUGUCAUGUAGCGGUGAAAUGCUUAGAUAUGACACAGAACACCGAUUGCGAAGGCAGCUCACAAAACUGUAACUGACGCUGAGGCACGAAAGCGUGGGUAUCAAACAGGAUUAGAUACCCUGGUAGUCCACGCUGUAAACUAUGAUUACUCGAUGUUUGCGAUAUACUGUAAGCGUCUAAGCGAAAGCGAUAAGUAAUCCACCUGGGGAGUACGCGCGCGAGAGAGAACGUACGAAGAAGAGACGGACGNGAGGACGAGCGACGGACGACGACGAGGGGAGGAGG